CCUACGGGAGGCUGCAGUGGGGGAUAUUGCACAAUGGGGGAAACCCUGAUGCAGCGACGCCGCGUGGGCGAAGAAGUAUUUCGGUAUGUAAAGCCCUAUCAGCAGGGAAGAAGAAAUGACGGUACCUGAGUAAGAAGCACCGGCUAAAUACGUGCCAGCAGCCGCGGUAAUACGUAUGGUGCAAGCGUUAUCCGGAUUUACUGGGUGUAAAGGGAGCGCAGGCGGCCCGGCAAGCCUGAUGUGAAAGCCCGCGGCCCAACCGCGGGACUGCAUUGGGAACUACCGGGCUGGAGUGCCGGAGAGGUAGGCGGAAUUCCUAGUGUAGCGGUGAAAUGGGUAGAUAUUAGGAGGAACACCAGUGGCGAAGGCGGCCUGCUGGACGACAACUGACGGUGAGGCGCGAAAGCGUGGGGAGCAAACAGGAUUAGAUACCCGGGUAGUC
rnacentral:rRNA from 1 species